AAAGGGAACAAGAGUUCUCUCUUUGAUCAAGUGUACAAAUUCAGCAAGAAUCAAGUUAUGAAGUAAUUUUAUUGCAUGUUGAAGAAUUUAGGUCAUCUAACAUCAACUAAUCCUAAGGUGGAAGCUUGGAAAUGAAUGAGUCAAACGGGUCAAAGAUGCGAGUAAGCAUGAUCAGAUGCAAGGGUUUUACAAAGGCGGGAACCGGGCGGACGACUAAUUAUCCGAAGAACCGAACACUAUUAAACCACUAUCUCUUUGGAGACGUUCACGGGAAUGUUGAAGCAUGAUCAUGCACGAUAAAGUUUUUGAGUUAAAAACUUUAAAAUCUCUAAACUACAAAUAAAGUGUAUUAAUCUGUUA